AGAGUUUGAUCCUGGCUCAGGACGAACGCUGGCGGCACGCUUAACACAUGCAAGUCGAACGAGAGAAGAGGAGCUUGCUUUUCUGAUCUAGUGGCGGACGGGUGAGUAACACGUGAGCAAUCUGCCUUUCAGAGGGGGAUACCGAUUGGAAACGAUCGUUAAUACCGCAUAACAUAAUUGAACCGCAUGAUUUGAUUAUCAAAGAUUUAUCGCUGAAAGAUGAGCUCGCGUCUGAUUAGCUAGUUGGUAAGGUAACGGCUUACCAAGGCGACGAUCAGUAGCCGGACUGAGAGGUUGAUCGGCCACAUUGGGACUGAGACACGGCCCUGACUCCUACGGGAGGCAGCAGUGGGGAAUAUUGCACAAUGGAGGAAACUCUGAUGCAGCGAUGCCGCGUGAGGGAAGAAGGUUUUAGGAUUGUAAACCUCUGUCUUCAGGGACGAAAAAAGACGGUACCUGAGGAGGAAGCUCCGGCUAACUACGUGCCAGCAGCCGCGGUAAUACGUAGGGAGCGAGCGUUGUCCGGAAUUACUGGGUGUAAAGGGAGCGUAGGCGGGAUCGCAAGUCAGAUGUGAAAACUAUGGGCUUAACCCAUAAACUGCAUUUGAAACUGUGGUUCUUGAGUGAAGUAGAGGUAAGCGGAAUUCCUAGUGUAGCGGUGAAAUGCGUAGAUAUUAGGAGGGACAUCAGUGGCGAAGGCGGCUUACUGGGCUUUAACUGACGCUGAGGCUCGAAAGCGUGGGGAGCAAACAGGAUUAGAUACCCUGGUAGUCCACGCCGUAAACGAUGAUUACUAGGUGUGGGGGGACUGACCCCUUCCGUGCCGCAGCAAACGCAAUAAGUAAUCCACCUGGGGAGUACGACCGCAAGGUUGAAACUCAAAGGAAUUGACGGGGGCCCGCACAAGCAGUGGAGUAUGUGGAUUAAUUCGAAGCAACGCGAAGAACCUUACCAGGUCUUGACAUCGUAUGCAUAGCUCAGAGAUGAGUGAAAUCUCUUCGGAGACAUAUAGACAGGUGGUGCAUGGUUGUCGUCAGCUCGUGUCGUGAGAUGUUGGGUUAAGUCCCGCAGCGAGCGCAACCCUUACUGUUAGUUGCUACGCAAGAGCACUCUAGCAGGACUGCCGUUGACAAAACGGAGGAAGGUGGGGAUGACGUCAAAUCAUCAUGCCCCUUAUGACCUGGGCCUCACACGUACUACAAUGGCUGUCAACAGAGGGAAGCAAAGCCGCGAGGUGGAGCGAACCCCUAAAAGCAGUCUUAGUUCGGAUUGUAGGCUGCAACCCGCCUACAUGAAGUCGGAAUUGCUAGUAAUCGCAGAUCAGCAUGCUGCGGUGAAUACGUUCCCGGGCCUUGUACACACCGCCCGUCACGCCAUGGGAGUCGGUAACACCCGAAGCCUGUAGUCUAACCGCAAGGAGGACGCAGUCGAAGGUGGGAUUGAUGACUGGGGUGAAGUCGUAACAAGGUA
rnacentral:rRNA from 1 species